UUUUAAAGGUGAUACUGGAAAGUGCAAUUUUAAAAUGAGUAACACCUCUGCUGUAUUUCCACCAGCAUUAAGGGCUGACGGUGUAACUAUCGAUUAAGCACGGAUCUCUCCUUAGGGCAGCAUGGGAAAGACUCUCAUAACUGUCCACAUACUGGAAAGCUCUCACCUGCCACUAUUUCCUUGGGCUCCUGUGCCUUCCUUGUUAACCGCGCUAGCACCGCCCUACAGUCCCCACCCUCACCUGACUUCCAAGUUUGGCAAGUCUGGGACAAAUGAAGAACUCUGCUAGAGUAAACAACCGGUGGCUUUUAUACUUCUUCCUGGGUUUUUGUUGGAGUUUUUUGUUUUGUUGUAUUUUUUGUUCUGGUUCGGGAGCUAUUCUCUUCUAUAUGUGCUAUUUUCAAUAGCAGAGUAUGUGUAAGCACAAGGUUUUAAUAUGUUUGCAUAAGACAUCUUUGCAUAGCUAUUUAAUUGUCCAAUAGAAAACUUUAAUUCCCUCUCUGAUGCUUUUAUUUUAUUUGUUUUUAAAGUAUGACUUUUAGAGACAAGGAAUGUAUAUGAUUGUAGACAAGACCCUAAAAACUCUUGUCAGCAGAAAGUUAAGCUUCUGGUUGCCUUACUGUGUUUCAUGCAAAAUGUGUGUGGGCAUCCAGGGCCUCAGCAGCAUUACGGCUGUGGAGCAGGGCUUCUCCCUCGCUGAGCACUUGGCGGGUGAACUUGGGCAGUGCAAGUCCAAGAGGAGGAGAGACCCGUAAGAGUUAAAAGAGAGUUUGUAAAUAUCCUUUACUGCUUACUUCUACUCCUUUUAUGUUGCAGAAGUUCCACUUUAUGUAGUUUAAUAUAAAAUGAAACCAUUUUAUUUCAAUGUUGUUAGAAGGGUUUGUUUUAUUAGGAAGUGAAUAUAUCACUGCAGUGUUUUGUGCCUGUUUAAAGGCUUUUGUUUAGCAGAGUGAAUGUAAAAUACAGUAACAUGUUCAGAUCGUCGUCUAUUUUAUGAAAUACAUCAACUUGGAUUGUUUUUAAAGGCUCUGUCAAGGAAGUGAGGUGUGCAAUAGGUAGCAAAUACACAAUUGUGUGUCUGUGUCAUGUUAGGGGUCCAUCAGAUCUUCCCACUCACUGGAGUUUUGUUGAUGGCUGAAUUCUCAUUUGUGAAUUAAUAAUAGGGUCAUGCCCUUAGCAAACACUUUUAGAGUUUUUUUUUUAAAUUAAGAGAUUCCCAAAUGCCUUUCCCCCCGUCAGCCUGAUGAGUUUUUAUAUAUAAGGAAUAUUUAUUUUAACUAGUCUAUAAAAUUAUUGAGUGCCUGCCGAGGCCUUUAAACAUUCCUGAUGUUCCUUUCUAUCGUUCUUAAAUGACAGAAAGUUAAUUGUGCAAUGUUCCUGGUGAGGUACCCAGCAAGCUACAUCCACACUCAAAUCUGUUGGAACGAGUAUUCCAACAAAAUGUAAUGUGGAUCAGAGCAUCAUCCUUUGACCUGUGUGAAAGAAGUCUUGUCCUUCCAGAGAAGGAUUUCACAUAGGUUCACUGGAUGAAACUCGACCCAGCAUUCUUACUGUAUUUUACAUGUGCCUGUAAGUUAUUUGCAAAAAAGAAGGAAAAAAAAAAAAGCAAAAAAAUGGUAUCUUAACCUGGCCACUAUCAAACUACCAUAAAAACAAACGUUGGUGAUGGCCCGUUAGGUACCACUGAGCCUCCUAUCUGUGGCCUUCUCUGUUUCUGUUGUUUCAAAACCAUUUCAUUGUACACUACUGGGGUAAGUUUAUAACUUGAAAUGUGAACCUUUUUUUUUUAGGGUUAAGAACAAACUAUAUAAAUGUUUUUAAAAAAACGUUUUAGGGUUCUGUUUCCAAACAUGCUAGUAGUUUAGUUAUCUUUAGCUGCUUUGUAUUUGAAAGGCUUUUUAGAUCCUGCCCCA
rnacentral:lncRNA from 1 species